rnacentral:lncRNA from 10 species
UUUCCUGAUCCUUAUCUCUCAGGUGGAUCAAAUGAGCUAAAGAGUCUGAUGCAGUGGCCUGACGGGCAAAGCCGGUGGGUGCCUGUCGACAGGGAUCUAGCUGUUGCUUUUGUCAGUCUUUGUCUCCUCAGCUAAGGACUGUGUUCCGGAGUUCCCAGGACUAUGUUCCUUCCCUCUCCUGAACCUCCAGGAACCACAAGCACCCGCCAAGCUUCGUUCCUGAGGUCAGGUUCAGGCACUGCUGACUGUGCCACAGCCAGCAGGUGACCAGGGAGCAGUGCUGGAUGGCUUCUGUAUGGGAGAAUAACUUCACCCCGCAUUGGAAUGCAGGACUUCAGUGAGCCACAGUGAGGGACUUGAGUGUAAAAGGAGAAGCAGGUCCUCCUCUUCAAAGUGAAUUGGCUCCCAUUCAAGGCUGAAUAGCACUGGGCUGACAUUGUGUCUUGAAUGAUGUUUGUCCAUAAGAAGAAAAGUCUAUGGAAAGAAGACAAGUAUAAGUCCAACAAGUCAUCCUUGACCUGGUCCCAGGGGUUGAGGUAUUCAGAAUCUCUCCUCAGACAAGGGUCCUUGGGACAAUCUUUAUCAUGGGUCAUCAUUAUGAAAUCGGAAAAGGACCUCCUCCUCAGUCCUGCCUUUGUUUUCCAGAGAAUUGUUCUAUUUAGUUCCAGCUUCCCAGAAUCAGGAGGUCUUGUUUGGCCUCUGAUUGGUGAUGAUCUUUAGCUAAACCCUGGAUUCACUUUAGCUAAACACCUUUAGCUAAACAUGGGAUUCACUAAGUUACAAAAACACUGUUCUUACAGAUUGUUCAGUUUUCAUGGGAUAUUCUACAUCUAAAACUGUGCCUUUUAUAGGCUGAAUACCUGCUUCCUUCAUGUUUUCUUAUUAGAAGGCUAAAUUGUAUGCUUAUUUUUCUAACUGGAACCAUUGCAUCAGGGACAAGGUGGAGUAGUAGUAGCCACUUUGGUGGAGCUUUUGACAUGACCAAAAUUGUUCAUGUGAGGAGUGCCUUAGAAUAAAAGCAAAUAAACUCUCAUGAGGAGACUGUUGUGUCUGUCUGAAAGAGACAUCAUUUUGUUUAAUGUGACAGACUUACCCUUUUUUUCUGUACAUUAAAGAUUAAUAAGUGCCGGCUUUUUAAAUGUAUGACUUAAAAUUGUCAAGGGCCCAACUCAUGUCAAAACUGGCUGGAUGAUAUUCUCAUUUGUGUGUGUAUAUGUCAAAUCUCUUUUUCUACAUCUAAACUUUCUUUCCUCUCUUUGCAGAAAUAACAUAAUUGGCCUUUUACAAUGAUAAUUUCAUAUGUAUCUGAAGCUUCCUUCCUGUCAUAAUAAUUUCAUAUUUGUCUGGAGCUGGCUCUCUCAUUUUUUCUUUCCCCUCCCUUAUGAAACUUUAAAGAUUAUCUGAUCAAAAAAUGAUUCACUUGUUUUUGUGCACUCUAAGAAAAUGUAAUCUAGGUAAUCAAUAUUGUCUAAAAAAUGAAAACAAUAAAGCAAAUAUA